CCGUUGCAGAGCACAGGCUGCGGACGCGCAGGCUCAGCGGCCAUGGCUCAUGGGCCCAGCCGCUCCGCGACAUGUGGAAUCUUCCCGGACCGGGGCACGAACCCGUGUCCCCUGCAUCGGCAGGUGGACCCUCAACCACUGCGCCACCAGGGAAGCCCUCCCCACCACACACCCCAAGGAAAGUACAGAAGAACAUAAAAAAGCAGGAAAAAUUUACUCAUAAUCCUAUUAUCCCAUCAAUCAUAGUGCGAAGAUAUUGGAACAUUUACUUCGAGCCAUUUUUCUGUGCCCCACACUUUACAUAAAAUGUUAGCAAUGCCCGAGACCAAGAUUAGAAGCAACAAGUUCCAUGGAGAAAGACUGAAGCCCAAUGUGACGAGCAGCUUGGAUGAGCCUGCCCUGGAAGGAAUCGACAGUAACUUGCACAACAUCACACAACUAGCAAGUGGCAGAACUAAGAUCUGAGCUCAAGCCUGCCCGAGUCGAAAACUUACACUUUAUGCACCAAGCCCUGUGAAUCAGAAGUCUGGUGCAGGACUGGCGGAAUCAGGAGGCACCUUCGUGGGGUGAUGUGAAGGGGCCUGACAUCUGAGUCUUGCUUCUCUGGAUGAGGCACUGUGGGUCUAUUAUUCAUUUAUAUCUCAGAGCUGUGCUGUCUGUUGCAGCCACCAGCCGCACGUGGCCACCGAACACUGGAACAAUGGCCGGUCCAAAUUGAGACGGGCCGUAAGUGUAAAACACACAUUGCAUUUCAAAGACUCGGUAUAAAAAAUAGAACGGAAAAUAUCUCACAAUUAGUUUUUCAUAGUUAUGAUAUGCUAAAAUGAGAAUGUUUU